rnacentral:rRNA from 1 species
UGUGCUAAGGUAGCAUAAUAAUUUGUCCCUUAAUUAGGGGCUAGAAUGAAGGGCCGGACGAAUUUCUUUCUUUCUUCAACUUAAAUUGAUUAAUUUAAUUUUUUAGUUAAAAAGCUAAAAUUAUAUUGUAGGACGAGAAGACCCUAUAGAUCUUUAUUAAGUUAAUAAUUUAAUAAUUUAGUGUAUUAUAUAUUUUAAUUAUUAACUAUAAUUUGGUUGGGGCGACUAUGGAAUUUAAUUAACUUUCAUAUUUAUUUUCAUUAAUUACUGUACUAUUGAUCCAUUUAUAAUGAUUAAAAGAUUAAGUUACCUUAGGGAUAACAGCGUUAUUUUUUCGGAGAGUUCUUAUCGAUGAAGGAGUUUGCGACCUCGAUGUUGGAUUAAAGUAAGUUCUGGGCGUAGCUGUUCAGAGUCUUGGUCUGUUCGACCUUUAAAUUUUUACAUGAUCUGAGUU